rnacentral:rRNA from 1 species
AUUGAACGCUGGCGGCAUGCUUUACACAUGCAAGUCGAACCGCAGCGCGGGCUUCGGCCUGGCGGCGAGUGGCGAACGGGUGAGUAAUACAUCGGAACGUGCCCAGUAGUGGGGGAUAGCUCGGCGAAAGCCGGAUUAAUACCGCAUACGACCUGAGGGUGAAAGCGGGGGAUCUUCGGACCUCGCGCUAUUGGAGCGGCCGAUGGCAGAUUAGCUAGUUGGUGGGGUAAAGGCCUACCAAGGCGACGAUCUGUAGCUGGUCUGAGAGGACGACCAGCCACACUGGGACUGAGACACGGCCCAGACUCCUACGGGAGGCAGCAGUGGGGAAUUUUGGACAAUGGGCGAAAGCCUGAUCCAGCAAUGCCGCGUGUGUGAUGAAGGCCUUCGGGUUGUAAAGCACUUUUGGCGGGAACGAAAAGGACUGUGCCAAUACCACGGUUCGAUGACGGUACCCGCAGAAUAAGCACCGGCUAACUACGUG